rnacentral:tRNA from 1 species
GCCCGGAUAGCUCAGUUGAUAGAACAUGAGACUCUUAAUAUCAGGGUCGUGUGUUCGAGCCCCACCUUGGGCG